rnacentral:rRNA from 1 species
AUUGAACGCUGGCGGCAUGCCUUACACAUGCAAGGCGAACGGCAGCACGGGUGCUUGCACCUGGUGGCGAGUGGCGAACGGGUGAGUAAUACAUCGGAACGUACCUUAUCGUGGGGGAUAACGCAGCGAAAGCUGUGCUAAUACCGCAUACGCCCUGAGGGGGAAAGCGGGGGAUCGAAAGACCUCGCGCGAUUAGAGCGGCCGAUGCCUGAUUAGCUUGUUGGUGGGGUAAAAGCCCACCAAGGCGACGAUCAGUAGCUGGUCUGAGAGGACGAUCAGCCACACUGGGACUGAGACACGGCCCAGACUCCUACGGGAGGCAGCAGUGGGGAAUUUUGGACAAUGGGGGGCAACCCUGAUCCAGCAAUGCCGCGUGAGUGAAGAAGGCCUUCGGGUUGUAAAGCUCUUUUGUCAGGGAAGAAACACCGGCUCUAACACAGUCCGGGAAUGACGGUACCUGAAGAAUAAGCACCGGCUAACUACGUGCCAGCCGCCGCGGUAA